CCCUUCCCCAGCGCAUCUGGGGCUUUGACACAGAAGUUCACUUUCUGUGGAUCAGGGCCUCUGUUGAGAGAACUCAGGAAACAGUAGCCUCCAAGACUCACAAAGACUUACCAAGUGUUUCCAAAGAUCUAGAAGGAUAAAUGUUGGGUGUGAUGUUGCAAGUCAUUGAAAAUCCACUUUGGAGUUACGGUGUGCUUGAGACUUUCUGCCGAUUCUGUCGAAUGCCCCUUGCUGUGUCUUCAUGGAGCACAAUGGCCUCCUGUCUUGGCCUCCAGCAAGCAGGCCCCUGGCCUCCACCCUGUACUCUGUGUCUCCCUUAAAGGCAUCUACCUGGGAUUUCAUGGCUACCUGGAGCUGUCGGGGGUCCUUCAACCACAAGUCAUCUCCAAAGCACACAAAAGACACUCUUAUCGCUUGGGAGAUUCCAAGGUUUCAGAGGCUGUAUGCCUGAACUGGAGACGAAGACCAAAUAUUUAUGUUUGAUUACAUCACAGCCCUCAUAUUAAUUAUGAGAAGACCUCUUCCUAUUGCAUAGACGAAGAUCAGUGAAAUAAUGAGUUGCAUUUAGGUUCUAGUUCAUGACUGUAUCUUCUCUCUGAAAUGUUUGUGUUGUGCGUAUAACCAUUGUUCACUGCUAUAUCUUACUGUCUGCAUGUGGCAGGUGCUGAACAAAUAUUUAUUGAAUGUGUAAGUAAAUGAACGAAUAUGGUUUUCAUGUAAGCCAUGUGCUGUCGGGCACAAAAUAUUACAGAGUAAUGCCCUGAUCCGCCAUUCCUGGGGAGGGAGAGAAGAUGAUUCUGACGUAAUGACACAGAAAUACAUCCAUUUUCAUCUUACAUCCUAGAAGUAGGUACCUCUUUCCAUGGAACAGUGUUUACAGAAUGCCCUCCAGUGCCACCCAGGAUAAUGGUGCCAGGGCCAGUGGCGCUUCCAGAGAUACUGCAGAGAUCAUCCCAUCAGAGAGCUUUGUUUUCAUUCAUCGUUCCUAUUUCCUAAUAAAAAAGGCAGCCUGGAUUUUGUACAGCAAAGAAUAGCAUUUCAUAAGAUUUGGUUGAUGAGACUCAGAACUUAACUAUCACUCUUCCACUUAAUUGAUUUUUAAAAAAUAUUUUAUUUAUCCAAUUAUGAGAGAGAGAGAGAGCGAGCGUGCACAA